CCUACGGGAGGCAGCAGUUGGGAAUUGUACACAAUGGGCGCAAGCCUGAUGUCGCGACGCCGCGUGGAGGAAGAAGGCUUUCGGGUCGUAAACUCCUUUUCCCAGGGAAAAUUGUGAUGGUACCUGGGGAAUAAGAACCCGCUAACUACGUGCCAGCAGCUGCGGUAAUACGUAGGGUUCAAGCGUUAUCCGGAUUUAUUGGGCGUAAAGCACAUGUAGGUGGAUUGACGCGUCUUGGCUUAAAGCUCUGGGCUUAACCCAGAAUCUGGCUGAGAUACGGUCUUUCUUGUGGUCAGCAGGGGCAAACGGAAUUCCCGGUGUAGGAGUGAAAUCCGUUGAUAUCGGGAGGAACACCAAUGGCGAAGGCAGUUUGCUAGGCUGAUUCAGACACUGAGAUGUGAAAGCGUGGGGAGCGAACGGGGAUUAGAUACCCCGGUAGUCCACGCCGUAAACGAUGCACACUAGGCAGUAGGUAGUAGUACGUACCCUUCUUGUGCGACGACUACGUACGUUAGUGUGCCGCCGUCGGUAGGUACGGUCGCGAGACGUAAACGUACGAAGAAGUAGACGGCGNGUAAGAGUGCCGACGACGACGACGAGGGAGGUUAGG
rnacentral:rRNA from 1 species